rnacentral:misc_RNA from 1 species
AAAUUGCGACAGCGAGCCAAGGUGCAGGAGCAAAUUGUGAAAUGAGUAAUUUAAGAGCACAAGAUUUAAUAGAAUUGACCUAUUUUUGCAUGUGCAGUUUAAAUAUUUUGAAAUGAGUUGAAUAAUGAACAUUUCUUAGGAGCGAAAUUGUGAGCUGAAUUAAAAUCCUACCAAAUAUUUAUGCAUGAUUACCUUCAAGCUGAACUAAUUUAAUAACUAGAAA